rnacentral:rRNA from 1 species
GACGAACGCUGGCGGCGUGCUUAACACAUGCAAGUCGAACGGAAAGGCCCUGCUUUUGUGGGGUGCUCGAGUGGCGAACGGGUGAGUAACACGUGAGUAACCUGCCCUUGACUUUGGGAUAACUUCAGGAAACUGGGGCUAAUACCGGAUAGGAGCUCCUGCUGCAUGGUGGGGGUUGGAAAGUUUCGGCGGUUGGGGAUGGACUCGCGGCUUAUCAGCUUGUUGGUGGGGUAGUGGCUUACCAAGGCUUUGAAGGGUAGCCGGCCUGAGAGGGUGACCGGCCACAUUGGGACUGAGAUACGGCCCAGACUCCUACGGGAGGCAGCAGUGGGGAAUAUUGCACAGUGGGCGGAAGCCUGAUGCAGCAACGCCGCGUGCGGGAUGACGGCCUUCGGGUUGUAAACCGCUUUCGCCUGUGACGAAGCGUGAGUGACGGUAAUGGGUAAAGAAGCACCGGCUAACUACGUG